UGGGGAAUAUUGCGCAAUGGGGGAAACCCUGACGCAGCGACGCCGCGUGCGGGAUGAAGGCCUUCGGGUUGUAAACCGCUUUUGAUUGGGAGCAAGCCUUUUGGGUGAGUGUACCUUUCGAAUAAGCGCCGGCUAACUACGUGCCAGCAGCCGCGGUAAUACGUAGGGCGCAAGCGUUAUCCGGAAUUAUUGGGCGUAAAGAGCUUGUAGGCGGUUCGUCGCGUCCGGUGUGAAAGCCCAUCGCUUAACGGUGGGUUUGCGCCGGGUACGGGCGGGCUAGAGUGCAGUAGGGGAGACUGGAAUUCCCGGUGUAACGGUGGAAUGUGUAGAUAUCGGGAAGAACACCAAUGGCGAAGGCAGGUCUCUGGGCUGUUACUGACGCUGAGAAGCGAAAGCGUGGGGAGCGAACAGG
rnacentral:rRNA from 1 species